rnacentral:rRNA from 1 species
GAAUAUUGGGCAAUGGGGGCAACCCUGAUCCAGCCAUGCCGCGUGUGUGAAGAAGGCCUUCGGGUUGUAAAGCACUUUUGUUCGGGAAGAAAAGCACUGGGUUAAUACCCUGGUGUCAUGACGGUACCGAACGAAUAAGCACCGGCUAACUCCGUGCCAGCAGCCGCGGGAAUACGAAGGGUGCAAGCGUUACUCGGAAUUACUGGGCGUAAAGCGUGCGUAGGCGGUUUGUUAAGUCUGUCGUGAAAGCCCCGGGCUCAACCUGGGAAUGGCGAUGGAUACUGGCGAGCUAGAGUACGGUAGAGGAGAGUGGAAUUCCCGGUGUAGCAGUGAAAUGCGUAGAGAUCGGGAGGAACAUCAGUUGCGAAGGCGGCUCUCUGGACCAGUACUGACGCUGAGGCACGAAGGCGUGGGGAGCAAACAGGA